rnacentral:rRNA from 1 species
AGAGCGAACGCUGGCGGCAGGCCUAACACAUGCAAGUCGAGCGCCCGUAGCAAUACGGGAGCGGCAGACGGGAUAGUAACACGUGGGAACGCGCCCUUCGGUUCGGAAUAACUCAGGGAAACUUGAGCUAAUACCGGAUACGCCCUUACGGGGAAAGAUUUAUUGCCGAAGGAACGGCCCGCGUCCGAUUAGCUAGUUGGUGAGGUAAUGGCUCACCAAGGCGACGAUCGGUAGCUGGUCUGAGAGGAUGACCAGCAUCACUGGGACUGAGACACGGCCCAGACUCCUACGGGAGGCAGCAGUGGGGAAUAUUGGACAAUGGGCGCAAGCCUGAUCCAGCCAUGCCGCGUGGAUGAUGAAGGCCUUAGGGUUGUAAAGUCCGUUUUAACGGGGAAGAUAAUGACGGUACCCGUAGAAUAAGCCCCGGCUAACUUCGCGCCAGCAGCCGCGA